GUAGGGAGAAGGGCAGUCGCUGGUGCAAACCAGAGGAAAGUCCGAGCUACAAAGAGCGGGGUGUCGUGUGGAGACGAAAGUUUAAGCGCGAGAAGCGACCUUACGAGGUCGUUGACAGUCCAGAUUGGGUCGGUCGUUAAGCUUGCUGAAAAGUAAGAGCAGCGACAGGCAGAGCAACAGAGACGAAAACCCUUGCGAAAGCAAGGGGGUGAAAAGGGCAAUCCUCCCUGUAGCAAUCUCCGAGUUGGCGGAUAAAGACGGUUGCUCGCCGGAGCCAGAAGACGAGAGCAGUCGUGGAGGCGACGACACGACCGGUGCUGCAAAGUACCGAGAUAGAUGACUGCCAUGAACAGAACUCGGCUUACUCUCUUUCUACCCGU
rnacentral:RNase_P_RNA from 1 species